AUCCCUGAGAGGGGUGGAGGAAGCAGACGUACUGAGUCGGGGCGGAAGGACCGGCGGAGGGAAAUCAUGCCCUUAACCAAGAUGGUGAGUGAAGUCUGCUGAAGCCAUCCUUUUUGCUUCAGCUGACAGUACAGUCCCGGUUUCCUGGUUGUCUACAAAGGAUGUUGGUACGCUCUGCAAUCACUUUUAGCCACGCUUGACAUGGUUGGGGAGCCCGUGAGGCCUAGGUGCCGUUGAUGCCCAGACAGAUGCUUCACACCUUUGCUGCACAGCAGGAUGGCUCUGAACUCUAUGCAAAACUCUUUCUCACUGUGAAAUGAAAACACUGAAUUUAAUUUUUCUUAAUUGGCGCUGUCUGACUAAUGGAAAAAAAAUGGUGCUAAUAAAAAACAGUAUUGCUG
rnacentral:lncRNA from 7 species